UGGCGUAUAAAAUUGAUCUAUCGACCAUAAUAAUAAAAACGCAAAAUGCUUUUCGUGCCACAGUUAUACAAUCAAUAUCCUUAAAAUGGCUGGAAUUCAUCAUGAAAAUUUCGAGAAGUUGUUUCUUUAUAAGUCUGACAAUUUCAUAACACAAUUAAUUUAUUCAUGAAGUUAUUUCUUUGUUCUUUAUAAGUAUUGGAUAAUUUUCAUUUGACAAGAAAAAUGGUUUCACCAUACAUAUUGUAAAUUAUUUCUUUGUUCUUUAUAAGUAUUGGAUAAUUUUCAUUUGACAAGAAAAAUGGUUUCACCAUACAUAUUGUUUUGUUCUUGCUCGAUCCCAUUCACUUAUCUUCGACAAAAUAGAAAGCCUUUGGAAACAUUAAACCUUGUGUUUAUUUUCUAUUCCUUUUCCUCUUUAGCUGAUAAAUGAGAACAAAUUUUUAAAGAGAGGUUCGACAUAAACAUGGUUUUAGGUUUUCUCAGAAAGCUUUGAGAAUAGCUUGAUCAGCGAUCAAGUGAGCGAGUUUGAGAUAGGGAGAAGCCGAUAAAAGCUCAUGUAAUAUUCUUCUCUGAAAUCUGUUGAUUCUCCGAGCAAAAGCUUCCGCGAAAUACUUAGCAACCUUACUCAUCGCUCCAGUUGGCAACGAAGCUGACAACACAAUACGAUUCACAAGCAUGUAUGCGAGCUCAAGAUUGUUUAGCUGAAGAGCUUCGCCACACACCAUCAAAGUGUGAACAAGUUCAACCCCUGCUUGUGAGUCGAAGAGGAACCACCGAUCUAAUGGGUUCAGUCGACGGAAAUAAUGUUGAAGUUGAAAGAAUGUCACUCCCAUCCCAUUCAGUCACCCAAGUUGUUCCAUGUGGGUCAAUGGGAACCACCGGUGGUUUAAACCAGAGAUAAUGUUGAAGUUGAAAGAAUGUCAUUUCCGUCUCAUUCAGUCACCCAAGUUGUUUCAUGUGGAUUGAUGGGAACCACCGGGGGUUCACUGGACGGAUACAAGGUUGAAAGAAUAUCAUUCCACAUGUUUAAAUUCAACAAAAUAUUCAACCUUAUAAGGAGGAGUUUCUGUGCUUAGGUGUUUUUUUGGUUUUGCAUAUGUUUCAUGCCAAUGUACAGCUGCUGUGCUGAUUGUUUUGUCCAUUGUAACAAUCUGCCUUUUGCACAUCUUGUGCUAGGCUCUUUUCUAUAUAUAAUAUGCUGAUUCAAAAAAAAAAAAAAAAUACAAAGAUCAAGAUUACUAUUACCACAAAAUAUAUAGAUAACUUCAUGAGUUGUUUACCAUGUCUUAGAAAAAUUUAUUUUACUAGUGUUUUUGAAGUAGCAUUAACCUCGUUUUCGCAAUGACAUGACAUAUUGCACAAUGCACCAAAUUGAGUUUGAUUAAUCGGUAUUAAGAAGUGUUGCAAUCGGUUAAUCAAACCACUUAUCUUCAACAAAACAUGUAUCCAUUUAGAAGUGCUAGCAACACUCUCUCUAGAUCACUCUCUUAUUGGUUUAAAUGAUUGUGUGUCUACACUUUGAAAAUAGAAACCAUACAAAGUGGUGAGACAUACUUUGAUUUCAUCCAAUAAAAGAGUGAGUGAGAAAAAGAGUGUUGAAAAGUUUUGCUAGCAUUCCUGUUGGAAACAAUAACUUAUUCUACUCAUUUUCAGCCAGCUGAAAUUAUAAAUGUUAGAAAUGUUAUAGAAAAUGGUUGAUAGCAUAUAGUAGCAUAUCUCUAAUCCCAUGUCCGAACCAAUUUUCAAAUCUCCAAAGUAAGUUUUCCCCCACAUCUGGUUCUCCAUUAAAACAAUAAGUAUAUUUAGAGAACCAUGACUGAGGAGAUUUGUUAUCAGAGGCUGAUUUAGCAAAGGAAUUACAAACAUUACAACACCUACAUCAAAAUACGUAACCAUAAAUACAACAAAAUAUUUCACAUUUAAGACUCAGUGAUCAAACACCAUACUCUAUUACUGAAUCAAUCAGUAGUAUGAAUUGUAACAAUCAAAUUUAAAUUCAACAAAAUAUUCAGCCUUUGAGAACAUUAUCUUCAUAUUACAUAAUAUUAUCAAAACUUGGACACUGGCAUGUAGGAUAAAUAAUAUAAUAGUAAAGUAGAUAAGAUCAGCUACCCUAAUUCACCUAAUUAAUG
rnacentral:lncRNA from 1 species